GUUCGUGUAAAAAAACAUUUUUCUUUCCAUCGGUGCCGCGCUCUGCGAACCGCCGCCGCCUCCGUUCCGCCUCGAUGAAAUCCGGCCCCCUUCGCGCUCCCGAUCCAAUUUCUCCGCCCGAAAGGGUUACAGUGAUCCCUCGACUCUUGGUCGUCUCUGACUUUUCAGCACCGGCCACUGUUGCAAUACUAUCUUCCCGCUGUUCUAGGUCUUCUCAUUGUUACUGCUACAGUGCUACAGAUGUGUGAAAUGAAACCUCUCUGUGCUGGUACCAUCGUUAGAAUGGACUUGGUGCAAAUCAUUGUAAAACUUACCCAAGCAUUGCACUGUGAGUUUUUUGUGAAUUCAAUAGUGUGUUCUGAUCAAUUGCAUUGAUCCGACCUAGUGGUUACCAUCUUUGGUGUGAGAGUGAGUUAAGCAGAUGAUUCGUGCAGCAGAUUACUGUUCUAAAGGAUUGGUUGAUAUCUCCUAAUUCUCAUUCUGAUAUAACUUGAGCCCUUCAUUUACCUCCCUUUUUCUUGCACAGUUGAAACAGUUUUACUAAUGUUCUUCUCAUGUUGGCAGUAAGGAGCCUGUUGGGUCAUUGACAAGAGCAGGUCCGCAUUUCCCAAGGCGCUGUUCAUUUGUGGAAUCCUUUGUCAAUGCAAGUUCCCAAGAGCAAGAGAUUGUCAUUGCCUUAGGGAGCAAUGUGGGUGACACUAUCAGUACAGCACCUGACCAACCGCUGUUCCUAUACUCUGCUGUAAGAGGGACAGCCAAGCUUUGGACCAUGAGUUAGGUCAAACAAAAAUUGACUAGGGUUCAGGCCCAACUGAUGAAGAAAGAUAUUGUCCCAGACCAAGUGAUCAUGUUGUGAUAUUCUAUGGUAAGCAUCACAUGAGUGGAAACACGAGGCCAUUUGUUCUAGUUCCUUGAUGGAGCUAGCAAUCCUGAGAUGGAUGCAAAGUUGGCAGUCACUCAAUAUGCAGAAAUGCAUUCAGCUAUGAAAGAACCUUGAGCAAGGAGAUACUUUGGUCAGAAAACUGAGGCCUAUGAAGGGUGUCGCCUGUACGGCUGUACGUCAUGGGCAUACGAAAUCUGAUACCAGAUAGUUUUA